rnacentral:rRNA from 1 species
GACGGAGGGUGCAAGCGUUGUUCGGAAUUACUGGGCGUAAAGCGCGGGCAGGUGGCCUUUUAAGUCCUUUGUGAAAUUCCGGAGCUCAACUCCGGAUGUGCAUAGGAUACUGGAAGGCUAGAGACUGGUAGAGGCGAGCGGAAUUCCUGGUGCAGCGGUGGAAUGCGUAGAUAUCAGGAAGAACACCGGUGGCGAAGGCGGCUCGCUGGGCCAGUUCUGACACUCAUCCGCGAAAGCGUGGGGAGCAAACAGG